GAUCAUGGCUCAGGAUGAACGCUGGCGGCGCGCUUAAGACAUGCAAGUCGAACGGAACUUAGUUGAAUGUUUACAUGAUACGAAAGUUUAGUGGUGACGGGUGAGUAACACGUGAGCAACCUGCCUUAGAGAAUGGGACAACAGAGGGAAACUUCUACUAAUACCGUAUAUGACCACAGUACCGCAUGGUACAGGGGUGAAAGGAGCAAUCCGCUCUAAGAUGGGCUCGCGGCUGAUUAGCUAGUUGGUGAGGUAACGGCCCACCAAGGCGACGAUCAGUAGCCGGAUUGAGAGAUUGAUCGGCCACAUUGGGACUGAGACACGGCCCAGACUCCUACGGGAGGCAGCAGUCGGGAAUAUUGCACAAUGGGGGAAACCCUGAUGCAGCAACGCCGCGUGAGGGAAGACGGCCUUCGGGUUGUAAACCUCUGUCCUCAGUGACGAAACAAAUGACGGUAGCUGAGGAGGAAGCCACGGCUAACUACGUG
rnacentral:rRNA from 1 species